rnacentral:piRNA from 1 species
UCAUUGGGUAAGAAUACAUGCUAUGU